AUGAACGCUAGCGGCAGGCUUAACACAUGCAAGUCGAGGGGCAGCAUAAUGGAUAGCAAUAUCUAUGGUGGCGACCGGCGCACGGGUGCGUAACGCGUAUGCAACCUACCUUUAACAGGGGGAUAACACUGAGAAAUUGGUACUAAUACCCCAUAAUAUCAUAGAAGGCAUCUUUUAUGGUUGAAAAUUCCGAUGGUUAGAGAUGGGCAUGCGUUGUAUUAGCUAGUUGGUGGGGUAACGGCUCACCAAGGCGACGAUACAUAGGGGGACUGAGAGAUUAACCCCCCACACUGGUACUGAGACACGGACCAGACUCCUACGGGAGGCAGCAGUGAGGAAUAUUGGUCAAUGGACGCAAGUCUGAACCAGCCAUGCCGCGUGCAGGAUGACGGCUCUAUGAGUUGUAAACUGCUUUUGUACGAGGGUAAACGCAGAUACGUGUAUCUGUCUGAAAGUAUCGUACGAAUAAGGAUCGGCUAACUCCGUGCCAGCAGCCGCGGUAAUACGGAGGAUUCAAGCGUUAUCCGGAUUUAUUGGGUUUAAAGGGUGCGUAGGCGGUUUGAUAAGUUAGAGGUGAAAUUUCGGGGCUCAACCCUGAACGUGCCUCUAAUACUGUUGAGCUAGAGAGUAGUUGCGGUAGGCGGAAUGUAUGGUGUAGCGGUGAAAUGCUUAGAGAUCAUACAGAACACCGAUUGCGAAGGCAGCUUACCAAACUAUAUCUGACGUUGAGGCACGAAAGCGUGGGGAGCAAACAGGAUUAGAUACCCUGGUAGUCCACGCAGUAAACGAUGAUAACUCGUUGUCGGCGAUACACAGUCGGUGACUAAGCGAAAGCGAUAAGUUAUCCACCUGGGGAGUACGUUCGCAAGAAUGAAACUCAAAGGAAUUGACGGGGGCCCGCACAAGCGGAGGAACAUGUGGUUUAAUUCGAUGAUACGCGAGGAACCUUACCCGGGCUUGAAUUGCAACUGAAUGAUGUGGAGACAUGUCAGCCGCAAGGCAGUUGUGAAGGUGCUGCAUGGUUGUCGUCAGCUCGUGCCGUGAGGUGUCGGGUUAAGUCCCAUAACGAGCGCAACCCCUACCGUUAGUUGCCAUCGGGUCAAGCUGGGCACUCUGGCGGGACUGCCGGUGUAAGCCGAGAGGAAGGUGGGGAUGACGUCAAAUCAGCACGGCCCUUACGUCCGGGGCUACACACGUGUUACAAUGGUAGGUACAGAGGGCAGCUACCCAGCGAUGGGAUGCGAAUCUCGAAAGCCUAUCUCAGUUCGGAUUGGAGGCUGAAACCCGCCUCCAUGAAGUUGGAUUCGCUAGUAAUCGCGCAUCAGCCAUGGCGCGGUGAAUACGUUCCCGGGCCUUGUACACACCGCCCGUCAAGCCAUGGGAGCCGGGGGUGCCUGAAGUUCGUGACCGCAAGGAGCGACCUAGGGCAAAACUGGUGACUGGGGCU
rnacentral:rRNA from 1 species